rnacentral:lncRNA from 1 species
UGAAGGGAGUGAUAACCGGCCUCUCCACCAUGCCUUCCACCUCUUCAAAUUUUUUCUUAAUUGCUAAAUCUUCUUCCUUGGCUUCCAUAACCUCUUCCACAACCUCUAUAACUUCUUCCUCGGUUCUCAUAGUUUCUGCCUUGGCCUCUUUAAGUACUAGCAACACGGCAUUCUUUCUUGACAUCUUGCAAAGAGAGCUUGGAUUGGAGAGCUUGUUUUAAAGAACUAGAAGACUUCUUGCUCAAUCUAUGCUCAUGAACUUGUAGUAUUCCCAUCAAA